rnacentral:rRNA from 1 species
GGGGAAUUUUGCGCAAUGGGCGAAAGCCUGACGCAGCAACGCCGCGUGUGUGACGAAGGCCCUAGGGUUGUAAAGCACUGUGGGAGGGGAAGAAAAAACCGGAGUGUAUCCGGUCUUGACGGUACCCUGUUAGAAAGCACCGGCUAACUCCGUGCCAGCAGCCGCGGUAAUACGGAGGGUGCAAGCGUUGUUCGGAAUUAUUGGGCGUAAAGGGCGUGUAGGUGGCAUUUCAAGUCUGGUGUGAAAGCCCACGGCUCAACCGUGGAACUGCAUUGGAAACUGAAAAGCUCGAGUAUUGGAGGGGGUCGCGGAAUUCCCGGUGUAGAGGUGAAAUUCGUAGAUAUCGGGAGGAACACCAGUGGCGAAGGCGGCGACCUGGCCAAUUACUGACACUGAGACGCGAAAGCGUGGGUAGCAAAC